rnacentral:rRNA from 1 species
UACGAAGGGUGCAAGCGUUGUUCGGAAUUAUUGGGCGUAAAGGGUUCGUAGGCUGGUAAUCAAGUCAAUUGUGAAAUGCCCGAGCUUAACUUGGGAGCUGCGAUUGAAACUGUUUAUCUUGAGUUUUAGAGAGGGUGGUGGAAUUGCUGGUGUAGGAGUGACAUCCGUAGAGAUCAGCAGGAACACCGGAGGCGAAGGCGGCCACCUGGCUAAGGACUGACGCUGAGGAACGAAAGCGUGGGUAGCAAAC